rnacentral:misc_RNA from 1 species
GCCUUCCCAAAUCCACUCCUCUGCCAUGCACCCAGUAUAUAGAAGAAACAACACAGCCCAACUACGACAAAAAUUUGUAUGGAACUCCUAGUUCUACUAUCAGCUGAAUUAGUUUUCAAUGCCAUAAUAACCCAAUCGCAUGAAGCAGAGUGUCAAAAAGAUCCAAAAGCAAAAGCAGAAUAAAAGCAAAUGUUCCACUUGACUUGAGUAGCUUCAAUGCUGUCCUCUGCAACGAAAAUAAUGAUAAAGCUGAAGAACUGUGACGGAUACUUCCUAGCAGAGAGAGAUCUCAGAGAUCCAAUCCGAAUGAAUUUUCUCAAUAAAUCUCUCGAAACCUUGGCUCCGAUUGUCAAAUUUUUUUACUAAAAUUAAUCUAUAAAUAAAUAAAAGUAAAAUCAAGCGUUCGAGAGCGAGUGCUUUUCUAUCUUGC